rnacentral:tRNA from 1 species
GGGGUUGUAGUUCAGAUGGGAGAACACCUGCUUUGCAAGCAGGGGGUCACGGGUUCGAGUCCCGUCAGCUCCACCA